rnacentral:rRNA from 1 species
AACGUAGGAAGCGAGCGUUAUCCGGAUUUACUGGGCGUAAAGCGCGUGUAGGCGGUCAGGUAAGUUGGAUGUGAAAGCUCCUGGCUUAACUGGGAGAGGUCGUUCAAUACUACUUGACUUGAGGAUGGGAGAGGGAAGCGGAAUUCCGGGUGUAGUGGUGAAAUGCGUAGAUAUCCGGAGGAACACCAGUGGCGAAAGCGGCUUCCUGGCCCAUAACUGACGCUCAGACGCGAAAGCUAGGGGAGCGAACGGG